AAACUGCUGUUAAUGCUCUGCAGUAUUUCACUUUAUUUACCUCUUCAAGAUUCUAUAAAAAUUUAGUAAAUUAGUAUGUAAAAAAACAAAAUCAUAUAGGUUAAGAGAUACAUGGAUAAUGGAUAUUAAGACAUAGUCAAUACCAACCACACAAUCGACUUGGCUUUUAACAGUACAAUUAGCCGUGUAAGAUGAACCAUAGAUGCAAUUUUGAUUGAGAGUACAUGAUAGGCAUUCAACACUGAGCUCCGAACAUAAAGACCCAGGCUCACAUAGACUUAAAAUUUAAUUGAUCUUACUUUUCUGCUUCCAAAAGCUGGAGUUGAAUUGCUAGUGACUGCAUAGUUUAAUACGCUUUCUGCGAUAGUAGGUAAUUAUUAACCGUGUUGAUACAUACAAAUUAAAAUGGUUGUAUAUAAUUAUAAUUUUUCAAGUGGUUCAUUCAAAAUAAAAAUUGUAAGUAAUAAUGAAGACUAUAUUUUCACUUACCACCAUGGCCAGAACCAUGACCAGUAUAAACUUGUCGAAUAGUUGUUGACAAAAUUGCCAAAAUAAUAAAAGCUACAUUUUUUACGUUUAUUCGAAUGACAUGCAUACCGAAAGUAUAAUCUAAAUCAAAUACAUAAACAUUCUUAAAAUGUCGACUAACUACAGCUUAAACAAGUGCUAGCAGGCGAUAAGCUAUACGCCUAAACCUAUAACAAAAUUUUUGGUUAUAUUUACUAUUGGACAUGUAAAACAACGAAUAUAGACUUGUUAUAGAAGGACGGUCAGUCGGUCAGUAUUAUAUAUAUUGGCGCCGGGGUCCCAUUUUGAAAUACACGUAGAUAAACCUGUUUUACCGAUAAGGGAAAUACCGCGCUAAGUCGAGCUUAUCGUGCAUGCUUUUGAAAAUGUCUGUAUAAUACAGUAGCAGCAAAUAAAUAUCAAAGUGCAUUUA